UAGAGCCGGAGCUGCCCCACCAGUUGCCUAGCAGGUCCUCUACCGGCUAAUUCCUGUCCUGGAGCUUCAUUGGCACAGUGGCCAGCGAGACGUUCCAGCCUCCCUGUUUCUUCCUCUGCUUUCUCUUCCCUCUGGUUUAGUUUGCUGGGAGCGCGAAAGGAGAAAGCACAGGGCCGCCCCAAACCCGUUUUGCUUCUGCCCAUCACAAGUGCCACUACCACCAUGGGCUUCCCUGUCUCCUCCCAUUUCUCCCGCCUCUUUGGCAAGAAGCAGAUGCGCAUUUUGAUGGUUGGAUUGGAUGCUGCUGGCAAAACAACCAUUCUGUAUAAACUGAAGUUAGGGGAGAUAGUCACCACCAUUCCUACCAUUGGUUUUAACAUGGAAACAGUAGAAUAUAAGAACAUUUGUUUCACAGUAUGGGAUGUUGGUGGUCAAGAUAGAAUUAGGCCUCCUCUGGAAGCAUUAUUUCCAGAAUACCCAGAGUCUUAUUUUUGUGGUAGAUAGCAAUGAUCGUGAAAGAAUUCAGGAAGUAGCAGAUGAGCUGCAGAAAAUGCAUCUGGCAGAUGAGCUGAUAGAUGCAGUGCUGCUGCUUUUUGCAAACAAACAGGAUUUGCCAAAUGCUAUGGCCAUCAGUGAAAUGACAGAUAAACUAGGUCUUCAGUCUCUUCGUAACAGAACAUGGUAUGUUCAAGCCACUUGUGCAACACAAGGAACUGGUCUGUAUGAAGGACUUGACUGGCUGUCAAAUGAGUUUUCAAAACGUUAAAUGAAACUGGAUAACUAACCAAGGACAUGUUUGAUAAAAUUGGUCUAGGCUUGUUACAACAAAAUUAGUUUGUAUCUUGGUUAUUAAACAGUAUCUGGGAAAAAAAA